rnacentral:rRNA from 1 species
ACGAGCGCAACCCUUGUCCUUAGUUGCCAGCACGUAAUGGUGGGCACUUUAGGGAGACUGCCGGUGACAAACCGGAGGAAGGUGGGGACGACGUCAAGUCAUCAUGGCCCUUACGGCCNGGGCUACACACGUGCUACAAUGGUGCAUACAGACGGUUGCCAAGCCGCGAGGUGGAGCUAAUCUNAGAAAGUGCAUCGUAGUCCGGAUUGGAGUCUGCAACUCGACUCCAUGAAGUCGGAAUCGCUAGUAAUCGUGAAUCAGAAUGUCNCGGUGAAUACGUUCCCGGGCCUUGCACACACCGCCCGU